ensembl:lncRNA
UGUAGACCCCAGAACACUUGGUUCUAGCUUUCCAGUGGAACUGUUUUUCUAUACACAACCUCUAAGAACCCUUCAGAGUGCUAGAUCCACCUGUGUGUACACAGAAUGUAGGCUAUUGUUAGAGUCACACAGACUACAUGUGAGUGUAAUGAGAGAAGUGAAAGCGUAAGGUUAUGUGCUUUGCUCUCACUCCUCCUGGGGAUUUCCAGGGUUAGAUAGGGAAAAAACGCACUCCUGCCAGGAUUAGCGCAUAAACACACCACGCAACAGAACUGGUUCGAACCCGGUACACAUCCCACACCUGCACAUUAAAGGGUUAAAGGUGUGUCUGCAUUUUAAAUGUAAGCAUGUAGAUGGUGCAGCUUAUUUUGCAUUUAUUUAAGAAUUCAAGUGGAUUUCAAACCUUCACUGAAGUUUAAAGAUGAAGUUUGUAAUGUGUUUCUAAACCUGUAUACUUUACAAUAUUGCCCCUUUUCCACAAAAGGCAACCCAUGAUGCAUUGUGGCAUACAUAGAUUUAAGGAUUGACUAUGUUUUCAUCGUUAUUCAUUUCUCCUCAGCAGAUAUCACAAGCUACAGCUAAUUGUGUUAGGUAGUGAGUAAUCUUCACUACCAGAUUAUUUUUGUGCUAAAUGAAUUUAGUUAAAUGAAUUAGCCAGGAUAGAACAUCUAGCCUGGCUAAGUUUAGUGUAAAAAAAUAUUUAAUCAAAGGCAAGAAAAGGCCAAAUUUCAUGUGGUGUAAUGAAGGUAAAAGUCAGAAAAGGCAGGAUGGUUUCUGUAAGUUAGAAUAGAUGAUUGAGGAACAGUUUGAAUGUUUGAUUUAAAUUAUGUGGUCCAAUCAUCAUAUUUGGUUUAAUGGUCUUUAUUUUUGUUUAGAGUUGUAUGUACUCUGAAUAGCUGUGAGAGGAGAGAGGAGUCCACAUGGAGUUCCCAAAUACACAAUGUGAUUUUAAAAGCCUUCUAAUAUAAGUACUGUAAUCUCAACAAUAACAGAACGGGGUAAAGGAGUGGACUGAGGUAGCGGUGUGGAACUUGGUAAAGGUGUAGAACAUGGUAAAGGGGUGGACUGAGGGGGUGUGGAACGUAAUGAAGGUGAGGACUGAGGUAAAGGGGUGGACUGAGGGGGCGUGGAACGUAGUGAAGGUGAGAACUGAGGUAAAGGUGUGGCAUGAGGGGCCGUGGAACCUAAUAAAGGUGAGAACUGAGGUAAAGGUGUGGCAUGAGGGGCCGUGGAACUUAAUAAAGGUGAGAACUGAGGUAAAGGGGUGGACUGAGGGGGCGUGGAACGUAGUGAAGGUGAGGACUGAGGUAAAGGUGUGGCAUGAGGGGCUGUGGAACCUAAUAAAGGUGAGAACUGAGGUAAAGGUGUGGCAUGAGGGGCCGUGGAACCUAAUAAAGGUGAGAACCGAGGUAAAGGUGUGGCAUGAGGGGCCGUGGAACCUAAUAAAGGUGAGAAUUGAGGUAAAGGGGUGGACUGAGGGGGCGUGGAACGUAAUGAAGGUGAGGACUGAGGUAAAGGGGUGGACUGAGGGGGCGUGGAACGUAAUGAAGGUGAGGACUGAGGUAAAGGGGUGGACUGAGGGGGCGUGGAACGUAAUGAAGGUGAGGACUGAGGUAAAGGGGUGGACUGAGGGGGCGUGGAACGUAAUGAAGGGGUGGACUGAGGGGGCGUGGAACGUAAUGAAGGUGAGGACUGAGGUAAAGGGGUGGACUGAGGGGGCGUGGAAUGUAAUGAAGGUGAGGACUGAGGUAAAGGAAAGGGGUGGACUGAGGGGGCGUGGAACGUAAUGAAGGUGAGAAUGAAGGGACUUGGAACCUAAUAAAGGUGUGGCCUGAGGGGGUGUGGAAUGUUUUAUAAAGGUGUGGACUGAGGUAAAGGUGUAUGUUGAGGCGGUGUGUAAUCGUGUUUUAAUUCUUAUGAGUUAUCCCUCUGGGGAACACAGGAUUCUGUGUAGAAUUCAUACAACAAAGUAAGAAAUCUUGAACUGCGUUUUUUUUUUUUCUUCUUUCCCUUUUUUCUCUCUGUGUGUGUGUGUGUGUGUGUGUGUGUGUGUGUGUGUGUGUGUGCGCACACUGUUAAAGCCGAUAAUCCUUACAUUUCCUCAGCUGUAUUACGAAGUUUUUAAAGGUAUGGUAACAAGGCUGGUGAUUCCUGUCUGAAAUAAAAGUCAUGUGAUCGUGUGGUAAAAGUCAUGGUGGUUUAUAGAGCUGAAUAAAGUGGGCGUUACUCCAUGGUCUAAUGUCGUAAUGAGACGUGUGGAUCGGUGACAGUUUGGACCGUAGUAGAGUAGAGGACUCUGUGUGUAGUGUAUAAUGUAAUCAGAUAUUUAAUCGUAUAUUUCCUUUUUCUUCAGAGAAAUGAAAUGUAGAAGUGCAGGAGCUCUAAUAGAGUGCGGAGUGUUUGCCGUUUUGUGGAGUGUAUUUUCGUGGAGUGUUUGCCGGCUCUCUCAGGUAUGAAGUAAUGCUGCUGGAUAUUGUGGCAUAGUUAAAUCUGAUCUGAUCUCCUGCUCGCUCAUCUGCAAACUGGCCUAACCUGUCCUUAUGAGCAACGUCCUUACCUAGUAUACGAGGUGACUGGCUCAUAUCCUACUGAACAGGUGAGCUCUCUCGGAUCUCCUUUCUGCGAGAUGUUUUCCGUGUCUCUCCUCUUGUACGAACUCUGCGUUAGAAUAUAGAUCGUCUAAAACUGCCUCAGCGUGGUUUCGUAACAUGAAUGAGCAAUGUCCGCUCACACACACGGCAUUGUCCAGGGCCGCAACCUAAUAACGACUGGAGAGAGGUCUGGCCUGAGCUUCUCUCUGUGAGGCAGAAUUGCUUUUUUAGGCAUUUGGAGGGACAAACCCAUGUGUAUUUUGGGGAAUACUUUAUUAUGGGUGUCGGAUAAAAGCAGGGGAGUUGAGGGGCGGGGAACUGCCAGAGGAAUUCCCUUAAUCCGAGUGUUCAGUGGUCUAAAACUGAGCAACUUGCACACGUCCUCUUUGUGAAUGAUGUCAUAGAGUGUUACAGCUUCACUUCCUGUUGAGACGAAGAGUGAAUACGAUGUGUGUUCAGUGUUGUGUACGAGACGUGCGGCUGCAGAAGCGUAUAAGCGGAAGUGAUUGGUCCCGCUCAGAGCUUUUGUUAAUUAAAACGAUUUGAUCUUUGCGUGUUGCGUCGCUUCAUAAACCGGUCCAACGACCCGGGAAGGUUCAGAAUGACGCUUCGGAUGCUUUUCUCAUUUUAGUGCAUCACUUCAUAGCUUUAGACGUGCAUCGGUGUGACUAUGACGGAUCGGGUGUGCGUUUAAUAUCAGGUAACUUGUUUCUAGCGUGGUGUUUUGAUUGAGAUGUGUUGUGGAGCUGAAACGGUGGACGGUUUUGUUUCUGCACUGGAAGGAAAAUAGCUCCGAACCAAAAUUACAGUGAUUAGAGAAAUCACGCUUAAAUGCGCGCGUGUGUGUGUGUGUGUGUGUGUGUGUGGCAGCAGUGUGUUGUACACUGAAGUGGUUUUGGUGUUGCAGGCUGCUAUUAGAGCAGAGGAUUUUAAAAGAUCUGUUUUGAAGCUUGGCGACGUAGCAGUGCGUCUCUUCUGUCGUAUGAUUGUGGCUCUAACCCUAAGCAACCGCUGAGCUCUCAUUUUCUACGUACUUUCAUGGCCUGAAGCAGCGAUUCCAGACACAAUUUAACUGGGAUGUUCUCCGUUCUAUGCAAAUUUGAUAAGGCUCUGUAAAGCAACACAUCCAGGUGUGACGUUUCUUCAGCUCCAUGCUCACAAUUUUAGUUCCUGCAGAAAUGGGAUAAAAUUGUAUAACCUCCAUGAUUAAAUUUCUUCAUGUUAUAUACACGCUCUCAUUAAAUGUGUACCGAACCGUUGGGAAGGAAAAGAAAGCUCGGAAGGACGUCGCGGAGAUCUUUGGUGCCUCUGGUGAGGGUAUGUAACUAGUACAGUUAGCUCAAUUUGCCAAUCUAAUCCGAGACCGUGCUAGCUCCCUCUGCCGAGAUAACAGCUCUCGGUCUUCUCCUGUGAUGCCUUGAGGUUGGAGAAUACAUGGCGAGGGGUCUGUGUUGUGUUUGCAAUUUUAAACAUUUGAAACUAUCUCAAUCACGUGCUUGUUUAGUUUUAUUUUAAUGAAAGGAGAGUAAAAAUAAAUCUUUUUUUUAUGCAUACUUCAGACAGGAAAGCCACUUUUCCGUGCACGUUUCUGAUUUUGUGAAGCUUCGUGUCCACGUUGAGGAGAACCGGUUUGCUUCGCGCCGCCCCUCGUCCUGCACUCGUACACCACAUGAAGGACGUUCUGUAGUACACACGUCAGGAUUGUUUGUUUGUUAUGUGAUACGCGUGUGUAUGAGUGUCGUGCGGUUAGUGAAUUUUGCGUGCGUGUGCUGAUCGUACUUGGUCAUUAGAUGGACAAACAUCACGUGAGAGGAGCUUCACGUGUACGGCUGUAGCGUUGUCGGCCGCUCCGUUUGAAGCCGGAGCCGCCGGCGGUGGUUUCCCGUCUUCCCUGCAG